AUGAGUAGGGCGGGACACGUGGUAUCCUGUCUGAAUAUGGGGGGACCAUCCUCCAAGGCUAAAUACUCCUGACUGACCGAUAGUGAACCAGUACCGUGAGGGAAAGGCGAAAAGAACCCCGGCGAGGGGAGUGAAAAAGAACCUGAAACCGUGUACGUACAAGCAGUGGGAGCACAGGUUUACCUGUGUGACUGCGUACCUUUUGUAUAAUGGGUCAGCGACUUAUAUUCUGUAGCAAGGUUAACCGUAUAGGGGAGCCGGAGGGAAACCGAGUCUUAAUUGGGCGUUAAGUUGCAGGGUAUAGACCCGAAACCCGGUGAUCUAGCCAUGGGCAGGUUGAAGGUUGGGUAACACUAACUGGAGGACCGAACCGACUAAUGUUGAAAAAUUAGCGGAUGACCUGUGGCUGGGGGUGAAAGGCCAAUCAAACCGGGAGAUAGCUGGUUCUCCCCGAAAGCUAUUUAGGUAGCGCCUCGUGAAUUCAUCUCCGGGGGUAGAGCACUGUUUCGGCUAGGGGGCCAUCCCGGCUUACCAACCCGAUGCAAACUGCGAAUACCGGAGAAUGUUAUCACGGGAGACACACGGCGGGUGCUAACGUCCGUCGUGAAGAGGGAAACAACCCAGACCGCCAGCUAAGGUCCCAAAGUCAUGGUUAAGUGGGAAACGAUGUGGGAAGGCCCAGACAGCCAGGAUGUUGGCUUAGAAGCAGCCAUCAUUUAAAGAAAGCGUAAUAGCUCACUGGUCGAGUCGGCCUGCGCGGAAGAUGUAACGGGGCUAAACCAU
rnacentral:rRNA from 1 species